GCUUGCCAAGGGCUCAGUCAGUUAUGUGCCAUCUAUCGUGGACUCCAAAAUGCAGUGACAAGUGAGCUUAUAGAGCAAGGGCUUCCUUGGGGUGCAUGGGCUGAGUUUUCCAUUGUCCUGAAACCUUCUAUAAGCAAUAGGAAGAAACUAUAGAUGGCAUGAUCAGUGGCCUAGGUUCUUCUCCAUAAAGUCCUCCCAACGACAGCCUCUUAUGGAUCAAUUGCUGUGCAGUGACUUAGACCCGGGAGGGCCAGCUGCUGACUCCAAAGCCUAAAGGGUCUCAGCUUCUCAAGAAGCCCCCUUCGGCCAGGCACGGUGGCUCAUGCCAUAAUCCCAGCACUUUGGGAGGCCGAGGUGGGAGGAUCACCUGAGGUCAGGAGUUCGAGACCAGCCUGGCUAACAUGGUGAAACCCCGUUUCUACUAAAAAUACAAAAAAUUAGCCAGGGUGCUGGUGUGCACCUGUAAUCCCAGCUACUCAGGGGGCUGAGACAGGAGAAUCCCUUGAAUCCGGGAGGCAGACG
rnacentral:lncRNA from 1 species